CUUUCUUUCCAGUGUUGGCUGACUUACAGCUCAUGCAAACUAGAGGCAAUUUCUGAGUCUCAGCCUCUCUCCCCCUUUCUGUCUGGUUUCUAAGCACACAUGUCAAGCUCUGGCAGGCUCAAGACUGUCUUCUGAAUUCCUGGAUUUUCUCUUUCUGGAAGUUCCCCUUGCGUUGUUAAUGAACCAUGGACAUCAUUGGCUUUCUGAAGUCUCAGUUCAUUUGCCACCUUCUUAUCUGCUACAUAUUUAUAGUGUCGGGACUGAUAAUUAACUUCAUUCAGCUCUUCACACUUGUCCUCUGGCCAGUCAACAAGCAGCUUUUCAGGAAGAUCAAUUGCAGACUGGCUUACUGCAUUUCAAGCCAGAUGGUGAUGUUGCUGGAAUGGUGGUCAGGCACUGAUUGCACCCUCUACACUGACCCAGAGAGUUACCACAAGUACGGGAAAGAGAAUGCCAUCGUAAUCCUUAAUCACAACUAUGAAAUCGACUUUCUCUGUGGUUGGAACUUUUGUGAAAGAUUUGGGGUUUUAGGGAGUUCCAAAGUGCUUGCAAAAAAGGAACUUUCUUACGUGCCUAUCAUUGGUUGGAUGUGGUAUUUCCUAGAGAUAGUCUUCUGCAAGCGUAAAUGGGAGGAAGAUCGGAAAACUGUCAUGCAGAGCUUGCUCAAUCUCCGGGAUUACCCUGAAAAAUUUUGGUUCUUGAUACACUGUGAGGGCACGAGAUUCACAGAGCAGAAGCACCAAAUCAGCAUGCAGGUUGCUGAAGCCAAAGGCCUGCCUAAACUCAAGUAUCAUCUGCUGCCCCGGACAAAGGGAUUUGCUGUCACCGUGCAAAGUUUGAGAAAUGUAGUUUCAGCUGUGUAUGAUUCUACGCUCAAUUUUAGAAAUAAUGAGAAUCCAACUUUGCUGGGAGUUUUAAAUGGGAAGAAAUAUCAUGCAGAUUUAUAUGUAAGACGGAUUCCAUUAGAGGAAGUCCCAGAAGACGAACAGGAAUGUUCUGAGUGGCUUCACAAACUCUAUCAAGAAAAGGAUGCCUUUCAAGAAGAAUACUACAGAACAGGAACCUAUCCAGCUACUCCCAUAGUGCCACCUCGGCGGCCAUGGACUCUUUUGAACUGGCUUUUCUGGGCCUUCUUGCUGCUAUAUCCUUUAUUCCAGCUGCUUAUCAACAUGGUCAGCAGUGGAUCAUCACUGACGCUGGCUAGUUUUGCUUUUGUCAUCAUUGUGGAUAAGCUUCCUGAUUCUGGACCACCCGAGUCCAUAAUAUGAUCAUAGAUUUACUGCACUCUGUCAAAGCAGAAAUUUCAGAGCCAGGUUUGUCAUGUCUUUCUGUUAUAACGGGCUCAAGGUAAGAGAGCUGAUAUGAGCAAGCAUCCGGCGAGGGGAAAGAGAUGAGGUAUUUGAGUGCUUCUCUUGCCUGUAAUCCUGAAUUCUGUUUCAGACCUUCCCUCUUUCUCUUCCAGACACUCUGACCAAUCAUAUCAUAGAGUAAUAAAAAUAUUUGCUUGCAAUCUCAGCACUUGGUGUUUUGAAGAAAAGAAUCGUAUAAGAGAAAUGGCUGACUUUAUGGUUAAAUCGGAGCAAUAAUAUUAUAGUAGACUAGAAUACUAUAAUUAUCUUGGUUAGAUGGGAGCAAUAGAGAACUGGACUAUAUUUAACUACAUCAGUUCAGCUUGAACUCUUCAAGCCCCAAGUGUGAUUUUAUAAUUCCAUACUGUGAAUGCUGAGCCAUCCCCUCUCACUGUGUUACACAAAAAUAAUAAUGAAAUAAAUGAUCUUGGUAUUCUUUUUAUGGGAGUCCCCGUCCCAAAGAGCAAGCAUCUAAGUGACUUAGAAUCCCAAAAUACCUACAUUGUAUUUUCAAAGGUGACUAGGAGCCUAAGUCCCAUUGACUUUUGGUGAGACUUAAGCUCCUAAAUUACUAAGGCACUAUUGAAAAUUUUAUACUUAAUUCCUAUGGUACUUCUACUUAGUGGAGUUAGAACAAGAAACGAGGGCUGAUUAAACCAAAUUCUGGUAGCUCUAUUGGAAGAACUCCCAUUGAAGAAGUUCAUGUGGUUAUUGACCCCAGACAGAACACAGGACUGGGUCAUGUUCUGGAUUUCUACACUUGGUAUGGAAGAGAACAGUUCUUGUUAUACCCAAAGUAUACUCUUUUUGUUAGUAAAGAAGCUGUCAACUGUUUUUCAAAGGGGAAUGUUGAUUUCAUAUGCAGGAAAAUAAAGGAUUGGUCUUGGGUUUUAAGGGGGAAAUAGCUCUUAAAUGUCUAAUGCUAAAAACAUAACAUUUGGGCUUUCUGACAUGGCUCCAGACCAUAGAGUAUCUUUUACAGGCAAGAGAAUUAUACAAUUCAAAACGAGCAUGAGUAAUAAUGAGAUCUCUUUAAAAUCUGCAUGAGCUUGUGUAUGUUUCUAUUAUACGUGUGCGAGUGUUGUCACGGGACCCGCUACCAUUGGCUGCAGUGGAAACAGGAGUGGAUCCCUACUGACAUAACUCCUAACAGCUCCCAUUAUGGACUGUAACAGGGUUUAAAAGGUUAAAAUAAACUGUUCUAUGUGGCAAAACUGGUGUUGUCCCGAGUAUAACUGAGGGCAGAAUGGGCCCCUAGUAUUGUCAGUAAAUUUAAAAACCUUCUAGAGUCUGCAGAAGCAAUUAAUUUGUGACCGAAUGAAAUCUGUGUGUGUAGUUUCACUUUCCGCAUGUGUAGCUGCAUGUUUUGCGCAUGCAACUUAGCCACACAGCUUUGAAGAAGUUGCCCUUCUUCAACUCCCUGAUUUCUGUAUGUGUUCAUCUUUUUUUAUACUAUUCAGGACUAGACCAAGUGGAAAUCUUGAUGAAGCACCUUUGGUUGUUCAAAUGCUGUUGCAUAUAUGUCAGUUAUGUUAGCUAUAUGCCUUACAGAUGUAUUGUAAAAUAAAUAUGGAACUUCCCUAUACCUACAGAGAAUGUACUGACAUGUUGCUUACAGCAACAGUUAUGCUGAGGCAACUCCAGGAAUUAACUCAUAUGGGAGGAAAUUAACAUAUUUUUAAAUCCUGUAUAUUACUAAAUAGGAUCUGUACUGAGACUCUUCUUAGGACUAAAACCAAUUGCAUAGAGCAAAGCUCACAGAAUUGGCUCAGACUGACAAGCUUUUCAGUCCCUGUGAAUAGUUUCACUGGCCAGCACCCUGCCAAUCAGAGAGCAAGUCCCUAAUAGUCCUAUAAAUUGCUCAACUGGUUUGGGGCCAGAGCCAACCAGUCGGAGCCCAGCUCCUUCCUUAACACUGCUCUGGGGCAAUCUUGUCCUGGUUUUCAUCGUAUUUGUGUGUAAUUGGUUUCCUGGGGACCAACCAGCCAUAGGCUUCCCCUCUGUCAUCUUCUGAGAUAACUGAAACUUUCAUGGCAAAUUAGAAAGGCUGGAAUGACACCAUAGCAGUCACAGCCUGGUUACUCCUUCCCCUUCUUUAACGAUCGCAUGUGUUCCUAUCAUUGCAGCUGUUGUUGGUUUUUAUUAUUAUUAUAACCUUAAACCUGGCUGAGUCACAGCAAGGUUGGAAAUACCCAAGUUAGCAAUUUUCUUUUUCACAGGAGCGUAGUAAGUCAAUAAAAAUGUUCUGCAGGAGAACAAUAAAAACACCAUAUCCCACCUCUCCUUGAAACAUAAGGUAUAAGAGAGAGAAAGAAAAGUUGAUUUCAAGUGUUACCUUUGAAUAGUAUUGCAAAUAUUUGAGUCGAAGGCCAUGCCUUUUAAUUUUAUUGUAACUCAUGCUUGUAGUUUUGAAUUGACUCAAAAACCAGUGUGCUAUUAUAAGCUACAACAGAGUUCAGAGAAUGCCAGAGAGUUUGUACUUGUGGUUGAGAGCUCUGUUAGAGAAUCCUUUUCUGAGAGUGCAGCACAUUGAACUGUGGGCUCUGUUUAAAUUCUGGUUGCUGUGGUUCACAAAAGCAUAUCUUAGAACAUCAGAAUUGCAUCUUUUUUUCCCCUGGUUGUCUAGAGCACUCCCACUGUAAGUGGAAAUUUAAGAGAAAUGUGAAGAAUAAUCUUACAAUGUGUGAAUGGUAUUAAAAAAAAAAAAAAAGGGGCACAAAUGUAAUUCUCCCCUCCACCCCACCCCCCCCUCAAUGAAUGCACAUCAUGACAAAUGGAUAGGAGUUUGGAAUGUCAAGGUUCUUUUUUGUAGAAUUAUUUUUAAGUGUCUCUCAAAGUUGGGCGGGGGGGGGGGCGGAGGGACUACAGAAUAUAGUAUAGAGGGGAAAAGUCCAAAUCUUAGAUAAAAUAUUUGUAAAAUCAAACUUAAGAACAGAGAAAUCUCCUUAUUGAAUCAGACCAGGAGUCCAUCUAGUCCCAUGUCCUGUCUGUCUCGGAAAAUGGCAAGUUUGAGGUGCUUCAGAGGAGGGGAGGAGAGAUGUUCCAUAGGGGAAGUUUCUACCUAAUCCCAUUCUAGCCAUGAAAUUUCAAGUCCCCCUUGGGGAGGAGAAUGGGGACGGGGGCUAACUGUGAAGCUGUAGGUUACCAUGGAUUUGUUAUAAUACCACGGUGGUUGUACCACGUAUUGCUGCCUUUGUCAGGUUCUCAUCGCAUUGAUGAACUCUUUGAGCCCAGGCUUCCAUUCCUUAUUCCGUCAAAAGUCCUUCCGAGUUUUGCCUGAGGUGAGAACUCAGGCUCAAAUCCUGUACCUGCUUAAAUGGACAUUUUAGAUCUCAAAGCAACUCGUUCCUUGCAUGAAGAGGGUAAAGUGUAAGUGACUGCGCUCCCUUCGCACCAUAUCCAUAGUUUAUAGUGGGUGGAGGAACUGGGAGCAAAGCUGUGUGUGUGUGUCAGGAACGGGGAUUCUCUAACCCCAGUCCAUAGGCAGUGCUGCAGUAGCAGCUGCAGCCUGUCUCUGCAUGAUCCUGGUGCUGGAUCUUCCAUGCCCCAAACUUGAAUAGAGUUUUUGGACAAAACCCUUUUACUCCAUUUGCUACUGGGCUCAGGUUGAGAACUUCAGUAAAGAGAAUCUGGCCUUUGGGGAUUAAAUACAAGCCUCUGUCCAUGUGGCGUUGCCUUCAAAGGUUCAAGUGCUGGGCUAUUAUUUCUUUUCCUUUCUGUCCCCUCCACUCUCCCUAGGCAGCUUUUGGGAUCCAUCUCCUCCACAUAAACCUGAGAACUGAGCAAUUCUUAAUACUCUUAAGCAUGACAACCUCACCCCUGUCCAGCCCUGUCAUCCUUCUAACUCCCCUCUACUGUACCUUCUUCAAUUCUGCAGUAGCCUUCCUGUAGCAGGUACAGCACUGCGCCCACAACCCUGUAAAAGCCCCAGGAAGUAGUUUGCUUGGUUGCUAUAACAAUGGCCCUGAUUUAUGUUCUGUUUAUACAGCUCCACAUGCUGAUUUCCUCUUUUUUUGUUGCCGGACACCACGGUGAUGAUUUGAGUUUCUGUCGGUCAUUAUCCCAGCUCACGUGUCCUACUCUGUUUCCCAGCUCUUGACCAUUUGAAGCCAAAAUCAUUGUUGCCAUUUUGUGUUUGGUUGAACCGAGUCCUCAUUGUGUUACCUGCUUUUUCCAGUCAGAGUGAGAGUGCGGCCUGUCUCUGCACAAGUGAGGCCACCUCGAGGCAGCUUCUCCCUUCCCUGCCAUGUGCUGCUGUGCAGAAAUAUACAACAGCAUCACUGAGGACCACAGAUCUCACUGUGGGCAAUAGCUGUCUGAAAGGGAGCAGGAGGAGGUGGGACUGAAGGUUUCAUUCCACCAGCCCUUCUCUUGUGAUUUUUGCUCCUGUAACGUUUUACCCUUAGCACACUCUGUAUACAACAUUUUAGAAGGAAAUACUUUGGCCUAACGUAGCCUUUCAUCCAAGCAGCUCAAAGCGUAUCCCAUAUAAUCAGUGAAUCUCACUACACCCCAGCCAGGUAUAUUAUUAUUUAUUGUUGGUCUUUUUUACAGAUUGGUAAGGUGAAGUGCAAUGGGCCAAAUUAUCCAUGACUUACUCUCCAUUAUGUCAGUGGAGGUGUAAAUCAAUAUAGAAUACGGUUACAUGGUGAGUUGGGGGGAAGCUGGGAAAAAGCAGUCUUACAUGUCAUUCACCUGAUCCAACUACUACAACAUCCUUCCACAGAUGAAACCUGUUUUGAAGGUUCAGGUAGAUCAUCUGUGGCUUCAUCCUUGGAAAUUCAAACUGUGAUUGAAAGGAAUUAGUUAAUUCUGACCUUCCCUUUGAAUCCAUAGUCACUAUCAUUGUGGUGCUUGUACAUGUCCAGGUAUUUUCCUAUUUUUGUCUGUAAUCAAUGACUUUACAGUCUUUCCAACUACUGAGCUUAGCUGGAAAGGUCUGCACUUUCUAAUCUCGUCUUUUAAUGCUUUCCUACAUGAAGGUGUCUUGCAAGCUUAUUUCCAGCCUAUAGAUUCCUCUCUUGAAGAGAUUUGGAAAAAUCUCUGUUGUACCUUAUUUUUUUCUUCUGUCUCAAUUUAGAAAUCGACCCUGUAGGCAAAAUGCUCCCUUCUGACUUUCCCAUGUGUCUUUUUCAACAAAAGGAUUUUACUUUACUCAGCUAUGUUUCAAAUGCGCAACUCUUGUGAACCAUUGUUGGCCCUGUCUUGCCUACUUGGGCAAACCAGUCAGGGAAUACUUCCAGCAAAGAAGAGACUGGUUAUUUUUAAUUACUCCCCAUCAGUACAGUUAGUUGAGUGACCUUGACUGUAAUAUGGACAAGAGGUAGCCACUGGUUUUGGUCGUGCUGGCUGUAUUUUCUCAGGUUGGUGAGGGAUGUGCUGAUGCUUUAGUAAAGAAUGCUGAGCUAUUUCUUUCUUCAGAUUGGUACAAAAAUCAUUAAUUCGUAAGCAACUUGAUCAGUAUUUAUGGAGCCUUCCACGGACUUCAGUGGGUGUUGGAUUGGGCCCUAACCGAGCAUGAGAGCAUGUAUUGCUAAUAAAUUGUGCAUGAGUCUGUCUCUCUCUCUUUCUCUGUUCCUCUGUCUCUCCUUCUCUCCUAGACUCUGCUUGGUGGCUAAAAGACCUUGAUGAAGGCUUGACUAUAAAUGAUCUUAAUGAGGGGAGGUGGCCAGAGAAGAUUCCAGAUGAGUAACAGUACAAAUCCCUUUUUCUUGGGAUUUAUGCAAACAACUGCCUGGAUGCUGGAGAGUGGAAAUGGAAUCAUAUCCGUCAUUCUGGAAUCAAGAGUUUGAGCAUUUCCUCCUGCAAAAUAGCUGCAGGAGCAGGCCAAGGGGGAUUUCUGACCAAUAUGUCCCAUUUUCGAAGACCCUGAUCUUAUUCCCACGGAGGCAAAUAGCAAAACUCUCCUCUAGCUUCUGUUGGUGUUCGAUGGAUGAUAGGGGUGACUGAAAUUAAUAAGGGUUCUACCUACGGCAACAAUGACAACAAGCAGA